CAGGCGGUCAGGAAGGAACAGUGGCAGAAGAGCAGAGGGGGAGCCAAGACAAACUGACACCAACCAGUGAGGAAAGCUGGAACCCGUGUCCCUCUCUCACCACCUUCAAAACCUCCAACUUCCAUGCGGCAGGUGACCCGCCAGAGAGGCUGGUUUUCUGUGGAGGAGCUAAACACGCACUGGCCCAGGAGUUGGAGAUGCUGGAGGAGGACACGUGAUGAGGGGAGGAGCUGCAGGCUCGGCUGAUAGGCCCCAGAGACUGUACUCGGUGCGCGAGGGUUUGGAGGAGUCCGCCCGCUGCUGGGGCACGGAGGGCAGGGCCUCCGCCCCACGCCAUCGAGGAGAGCGUUAGGUCAGGGACGGCGUGCGUGAGAGGCGUGUGCGCUGGUGCCCUAUUCUGACUGCUAGAGCUAAAAAGACUGUGGCUGACGCUUCUCUCCUGACUUACAGAUCUCACACAUGUUGUCUGUUUGUGACCAGCGCUAUGCAGGCUCUCAAAAUCUUUCAUUCAUCUUAACUGAACUGUGACUCCAAACGUCCACUUCUGUGCACCUGCGUCAACGGUUUUCUGCUGUCUUAUGUCUCAAAGUCCAACUUGAUUAUCCUCACACUUGGCAGUAGAUCAUCAGGGAUAAGAGGGAGAGAUUUAGGAAUAAAUCAAAACAAAAUAUCUGCGGAGAGGACCUAAAUUCCCAGCAACAAUAUCCAUAUUUUGGGCCAGCGUUUCUGCUGUUGAUACUAUCUGGAGUCUUUCCACCCUUGCCAGCAGGUCAUUAAUUUUCUUCACUGGUUUGAAAUCUGCUUCAGAUACAGGUGGGCACCAAUAGAGGCAAGAUUACUGCACGUGAAUGGCCGGGCUAUGAACACUGGAAGAAGAUAUCAAACAAUAGCACCAGGGGCAGAAACAAACAAAUAUGUCUUUUAUAGCCGUGAAUCAGGGCUAGAAAGGAAAGAAGAGGAACUGGGGUAAUUUCCUCCUUUAUUUCCAGGCUGAUCCUAAAUCCAAUUUGACUGCUUUUCUACCAUUCCUCCACCUAGGAAAAGGGAGAAUUCAAGAAGGAUCAAAGGAGAGAAGAAGGGAAGAAUGUUCAAGUUGAAUGCCCCGAAGUAGAUAUCACUCGCUCAGCAUCCCAAGGGAUUUUGAGAGAUUUUUGUGUCCAUCAGUUACUUUCAGGUGGCUGGCAAAGCCAACCAGUGGAAUGAAUUUAAAAUGCUCACAAGUGUGGAAGUCAAGCUGUUGCACAAUGUAAGGGUGGGUAUGGAUACACACAGCAUAGUGCCAUGGGGUAUAAAUAUAAAACAGAAUUUAUUGUGAGGAAAAACUUAGAAGCAGAAAAACACCACACAAGUUCCCCUGAGGUCUCAUUAUUUCACACAAAGAUGUACUUAGGCUGGGAAUGGCUGAACUAGAUGCAACACAGAAAGGGCUCCAACGGAUGGAUCCCAUCCCAUCAUGUUCCUCAUAUUUAAAGGGAAAUAGGGCAGUAGAACAUAUCUAUUCAAGCAUUUAGCAACGGAAACUUCUUGGCUAAGGGAGUGUCCUCAUUAGUUAGGAGAAACCUCUGGAACUCUGGCUGGUACUAGUUUAAUCUUCUAUUGAUCAAGUUCAGCCAUGCUGAGCCCACUCUUUGCUUGCCCACUGAUAUGGGAAAGAAUUGAGUUUCCAAUACCAUCUGGAUUUGUCUUUCCUCACUGGCAGAACGCUUUGGCACAUUCUAGUGCAGUGACAAAACCUUUAAUUUAGAGCACAUCUCAGUCAACAAGGCAGCUGUGAAAACAGCUCCCUGCUCAAAAGGAUGCUGUCCAUAUUCUAUCCACAAGCAGCCUCAGCCAGCAAUGGAAAGCUACCCUGUACAGGUUGGAAGACAGCUCUUGGAAACCCAUUCUAUCUGUCACAGUGAUGCAUCACCUUAUCUCAAGGAUGGAGCUCUGCCAGGACAACCAGUUGCUGAGAGGCAAAGCUCAUCAUUUUGAAAGGCUAGGUGAAGGCAAAUUUAAUUUCCUCCAGGAGAAAAAUGUCAUCACCACCCUUGGUAAGCACAGAGACUUCAGAGUGAAAUUUGGCUACACCUUCACAUAAAGUUGCUCUGGAAGAGAAAGAUGUGAUUUAUGACCAAAGAGCCAACAUUUCCCCCUAGAGGGUUUGUUUCAUUUAUGAAGAAAAAGGGAAAGAUAUUUAAACAAGAGAUUUGGCAGUUUUGUUGAUUAUCAGAAAACCUCCCCUGUCAUUUUGGCUAUAAUAAAAAAAAAAGUAAACUGAAUGAAAAAAACAACUUGUGAUUUCUAUGCCAGCGACUGAGAGGCAGGGGAUUAAUAUCUCCCCAAACAAGAUCCACUCAUGAUGUUUCUGUCCCCAAACAAGAGAACAGUACUUGGCUUCUAGAUACCAGAUUUGAUUUCACUUUUCCUAAUGAGCGUUUAGUUUCUGGUCAACACACACACACAAACACACACACACACACAAUCUUGCAUAAGAUUAGAAUGAUUAAAUAUGUGCCCUUAAGUCAAGGAGCACUUCUUUUUAAUUUUAUUUGGGAACAUCAAAAAUUGUCAUUUUAUGAAGCAGAUUUUUUUGUAUACCAGAUGUUUUCGAACUAAACAAGUUCAAUAAAGCAAAUGGAAAAUAAAUAGGAAUGUCUCUUUUUUUUUCUUUAGUUAUGAUUUGAUUAGGCAGUGACAAUGUUUUAUAAGACACUUUGGCUAAGUAUGUUCUUAAUUUGAUAAAUCAUCAUGUAAGUUUGGCUUCAAUUAAGAGAAUGUUUUUCUUCAUAUCAGUUCCUACAGAUUUGCAGUCAGCACGCAUACAUAAAACAUGGAAAUGUAAACAUCGAAA
rnacentral:lncRNA from 1 species